UCAAACACGUUGCCGAUGGUGCACUACAGAAAGCGUAUGAAUGUGUUCCAGCUACUUCCAAUAUUGUCUCUUGACCACCCUCCCCAUCAAAAUGAAACGGCAUUGGUUUUUGCACAGAGGCUAACAGGGAGACAUCUUGCAGGAUGUGGAAGAUGUGUCUAAAGUGCCAAAGAAUGAUGUUCAGGAUACGAUGGGAGCACCCAUUAAAAUGCUGCAAGGCAUCCUGUAUUCGUGGAAAUACGCUUGCAGUUGCUGUAACAAGAAUGUUAACAGGGAUUGCUUCCAACUGUGAAGGGAAAUGAAUGACAAGGGAAGAUUAAACAAGAGCAUGCUCAACCGUCUCAAGAGAAAAAGGUUAAAAGGAGAGCUCAGUAGGUACAUAAAAUACCAAGUGAGAGAGAUGAGGUGAACAACUUCUCUCAAGACAAGUGCGACAUGCCAGAUCAUAGUAAAUAUUCCUUUACUUAAUCACGAAAGAAAUGCAUGGAAAAAGAAAUCACAAGAUAUGACUGAAGAGUCAAAGAUAUGAUAGGCUGGAUGGUCUGGACUUCACAGGGGGGUUGCCACACUCCAGGACUACUCUGGAGUUCUUUUCAUAAUUUUUUUCAUGGGAUGUGGACGUUAGUGGGAGACAAGCAUGUAUUGACCAUCACUAAUUAUCCUUGACAGGCGGUGCCUGUUCAAACCAUUUGAUGUAAAUAAGCCUAUAGUGUUAAUGUCCUGAACACUGCUUCCACCCACCUCUGAAAAAACAAUAUUCAGACAUCCUUUAAUUUUGUUUGAAUGUUUUAAUUUAUGAGUUACUUGGUGGGGAGAGUGGUGCAGGGUGAUGGGAGGGUGAAGUCAUUCUUAUUGACUAGGUUGUCAGGUGGCUGUUCACUGUAAACAGAAUUUCAAUCAGGAUAAUGGAGAAAAGGCGGGGGAAUGGAGUUGAGGAUUCUUAUUGAAUGGUAGUGCAGACUUGAUGGGCCAAAUAGCCUACUUCUGCUCCUGUAUUAUGGCACAGGAAGGCAGAGCACAGUAAGGUUGAUAUAUCAGGUGUCCAAUGGCAGGAGUGUGGUCGGGGUAAGGCAACAAAUAAAUGAGUGUCACAUGACAGUACUUCUGGGAAGAUAACUGAGAACAGUUGGCACAUACUAGUCCAUGGACUACAAAUUGGAUGACACUAUGAUCAUUUAAUAGAAGUGAAGUGGGCACCAAAGUGUCUAAUAGAUCAGUCAAUGUACAUGGUUUAGGGUAGAUCAGUGUGCAUCCGGUGUGCUGGCAAAGAUGGUAAAAAAAGGUGAUCAGAGCCUGUGCUGAAAUAGACAUUUGUAGCUUUGCAUUAUGAAAAUGUGAGGGUCUAACAUUUAUUUGAGGCUCUCUCCUCCUCAGAUCCUGCCAUUUAAGAAACCAUGCUCUACAUGCACAUUAGCAAACUACCCUUAAAAAGACCAAUGAGAGUUUCUACCAGGGAAAUCUUUCAAAAUUAAUUUGUGUGAGGUAGGUGUUGCCAGCAUUUAUUACCCAUCCCUAACUGCCCUUUCAACUGAAUGG